rnacentral:lncRNA from 1 species
AACAUUUUAAACACCAGCCCGACAAAGUGACACAGCACAACAAGAAUUGAUUAGAAUCCUCGGUCUGUUGAGGAGAAACACAAAUUCUUUCUAUAAAAAUGUUCUCAUGCUGAAGAGGAAGGGGUCUGUACCAGGUUGGAGAAACCCACAGGAACAGUUGGCCUGAACAAGGGAGAGCACAUCGACCCCAGAUGCUGUCUGGGAGGCCAGUACAAG